AUAUAUUUACAUAUUUAUUUAUAUUUUAGUUAUAUACUAUAUGAAUGACUAAAAAACGCUUAAAUUAUAUAAAAUGAUAAAUUUGAUCGUUCAUAAAUCAAUUUAGGUAUGUUCAGAAAUUAAUUUAGGUAACUUUAUAAAUUUCAUCGGGCCUGUGAAUUAAAAUUAAUUAGUUUGAAAAUAAUUUAAGUUUGUUUAUGGUUACUUUAAUUGCAAAAAGAAAAUAAAUAAAAAUUAGGAUAAGGUAGUUUCUUUGUGGUAUUUGAGUGUAAUUAAUAAGUUAUUUUAAAAGGAAGUUCAUAUUUGUAAUUCUAAUUUAAUAAGAUAUAUUUUCGCUAUAUCUAUAUGAAUGAAUAAAGUUAUAUUAAAAUGACAAAUUUUUUCGUUCGGAAAUCAAUUAAGUUAUGUUAGGAAAUUAGUUUAAGUACUUUUAUAAAUUUCCGGGCGUGUGGAUUAACAUUAAUCUCACAAUACUAAAAACAUGAUAUCAAGCCCUCUAAAAGCGUUCACGUGGAAUUGGAAAUUCAGGCCAAUCAGAGAUUGACUUUCUGCUACGUCACUUAUUUCCCGGGUCUGAACCGGGCCAAGAUUUAUGUAUCUGAGAGGGUCCUAUUUUGAGAUCCAUCGUCAAACCCUUCAUCUUCCUGCACCUCCCUUCUUUCAUCAAACGUAUAAAAAAAUAUCAUUCACGAAUAGAUCAACGUUACAUCUCUUUCGCUCCUUUAAGGAAAAACCACAUUCAACACACAAUUUUGCCUUCAGUUCCAAAUUAAAUCCCUUCUAAACAUCUCUCUAUUACAUCUACCCUUUCAUUUCAAUCUGAAUCCAGCCGUUUUAUGUAUCUAUGAAAGCUCUCCAAACACGACUAAACCCUCGCCACAAUCCACCGCAAAAACAUGUCGUCAGCAGAUUCGUCUUUCUCAAUUCCCGUCUUCCUUUAUUGCUGAUCUUCAUCAUGAUUUAUGUCUCGGCUUCAUACAUCUCCCUCGACAGUCUCCAUCUGGAUUGAUUCAACGUAUUGGAUUGCAUAUAUGUUGGCUUACGAAACUUCUGAAUCUUCUAAAGAAAAAGCUGAGAGUUUCAUUCAAGGGAAAUAAAAAGGACGCCACUGAAUUCUUGGAGGAGAUGAAUGAGAAAGAAGCUACAGAGAUGAAAGAAAUCAUGGGUCUAAAGGGGAAUGGAGUUCUAUGUGUCUACCCUCGGGGAAAGAACAUCAAAAACAUGCUGUCCAUCUUAAAAGAGAAGAAGAAAGUGCACCAACGAGUUCAAGCAGGUAUAAUCAUGUAUGGUUUGAUUUCUCAUGUGUAAACAUCUGCAACUUUUCAUAUAUGAUAAUUCUAUUCUUCACAAUUGAAGUUUGUCCUUUAACUUGGAUGAAACUUACCUCAUCUUACACAAUUGAAUUAACGUUGUUACUUUCUUUUAUGCAGACUUUUUUUCUUAGUUUUGCUUUUUAAGAUUUCAAGAAUAAAAUCAGGUUAGUCCUAUGGAUGGCACCGUUCUGAGGUUUGGGGAGUUAAAAGAAAGUAGAGGGAUGAACGAGCAAGUCAAAGGACAUUCCUACUCAGCACCAGGUCUUCUCGGAACAAAUUCUCCUUCCCAUGGUACCUGAAGGUAAGGAUGAAUCUGAGGAAGAAGCUGUUGCAGAUAAAAUCGACAAGUCUUGGUUGAGAUUCUCUUUGGCUUCUCCAAAACUACGGGAGAGCAUCUCAGCUAGUCCGAUGAAGGGGAUCUAUUAUUGUGUGAUAUACCUAAGACCAGGGGACUAUCAUCGUAUACACUCUCCAGCUGACUGGAAUGCAUUGGUUCGUAGAUACUUUGCAGGGCGGUUGUUUCCUGUGAAUGAGUGUGCUACAAGAACUAUAAAAAAUCUCUAUGUUGAAAAUGAAUGGGGAUAUGGAAACAAGGUUUUAUGGCACUUGCUGCUGAUGGUGCGACCAACAUUGGAUCCAUUGAGCUAUUCAUCGAUGAUCGAACCUAGGAGCAGGUGUACGAUCCACAAGGUCAUGGCGUAAAGCUUGAGAAAGGAAAGGGGGUAUGUGGUUUCAAAAGAUAACAGAUACAAAUUUGAGUCUAGGGAAUGUGAUAAAAUAGCAAGGGCUUUCUCCGAUCGAGGUAGGUGUAUUCAACAUGGGAUCAACUGUGGCGGUUCAAGCAGUUCCUCAGAUUACAGAUUCUGUGUCAAACUCUGUUUGUUAAUGACAGUGUCUGAAUAUGACCGUUUGACAGGCUAAUAGCGGUUGAGUGUUGGAGUUACCUAGAUGCCUAGAAGAACUCGCUGGCAAGCAAUGCUUCUUUCAUGAUUCAAGUGAAACCAUACAAUUUCACUCCCAACCAUGGCACCUUCACGUAUGAUGUCUGCAACUUCUGAGGACGUGUCUGUGAAACUCUUUUUUGUGCACUACGUGUCUGUGAAACUCAUUCAGAGAUUAACUAAGCUUAGUAAAGAAAACAUCUUCAACAGCGGUGAUUGAAAUAACACAUCUACUUAUUAGUUAUAGGUUGAAAGCAGCAACACAACUCCACAAGCGGCAUGGCAGAUUGCACAACCACCUGCUUCUGGCACCAACCCGAUGGAUGGGGCUACAAAAGGGAUGGACGUUGAUCAACCAACACCACCCAGCUUUGGAGAUGAGGAGAAGAGCCGCAAACACCCCUGGAGUGAUUGUUGGAAGUACUACAAGUCGUCUUUCCCACCAAGUUUUCUUUUCCUACAUUACAAGCUCUACGCAAUUACUCUUUUCCGUCGUUUGUGUUUUUCCUAUUUUUCCUAGUCGUCUUUUUAAAUUAAAGGAAGUUGAUGGCUUAACAUGUUCACUAAUAUUCUUCUGGUAUAAUUAACAUGAGGCUACCUUUAGUUAGUCCCUUGAUGCAUCAACGUACUAUUAAUACUCUCAAUUUUUUUAAAGAAAUACAGUGAUUUGAUCAAGUAACAUAAAUGCCGUAGCAUUCAACCGUCUACUGAUAGUAUCAUUUUUUUUUUGUAAACUAAUAGUAUCAAAUCUUAAACCGAUAAAAAGGUCAUCAACUAAAAGCUGAAUGACACUAAAAUAGAACCAACCAAAAAUAGUGACACAAAUACACUUAAUAUGUUCAACGAUGGUGAGGCAAAUAAUACUAAAAAAAAAACAUCAAAAGACACACACAGGUCAAAUGAUCGUCAUUUACAAUUACAAGGUUUCUUCAAGUAAAUCAAGAACACACCUACACCUCCCUACUUAUUCCCUGACCCACAAUUCUCUUCGUAUGCAAAUAUCUACAACGUAACAACACACGUUUAAGAAGAACUUCACCUAGAUGAUUAAUUACUCCAUAAAGCAACAAGCCAACAACAUAUACGACUCCGCGCUUGCGCGCGGGGUUCUGCCCCUAGUUAGUUUAAAAAUCAAUUAAGUUUGUUUAUGGUUACUUUUAUUGCUAAAGACAAUAAAUACUAAAAAUUAAGAUAAUGUAGGUUUUUGGUGGCAUUGGAAGUAAUUAACAAGUUAUUUUAAGGGUAAGUUUAUAUUUGUAUUUAUAUUUUAAUAAGAUAAACUAUAUCUUGACCCUACUUUGUAAGUGCUGAAUUUUUUAUGAUGAAUUUUUUUAUUAAUAACUUAACAAGUAUUUGUUAAUUUGUAAGAAUUUUAUGUAUUUAGAUAAAAGAUUUUAAAUUCAAAUCGAACCCGCAAUCAAACCGGUUAAUCUGGUGAUCCGAUAAUUUAAUUUAGGUUUAUAAAAAUAUCCACAUUUAAAAAAAACACCAAAACCCGAGACUAACAGAUUGAACCGAUGGAUGACCGAUGUGUAAUCCAAUUUGAUUUAAAUUGUUAUAGUGUCGUAAUUUGUCACUUUUUAAUUUAAAUUUAAAGUUCAUUGUUUUGCAAUUUAAUGAAAUCAUGACGUUUCGACAAAAUUUUGUUAGGGUAAAUAAUAGAUAUAAAAUAAUUGGAAAUUUGCUAAAAUAGAACAAAAAAAAACAAUCAUAUUGUCCCUUUGCCAUAAAACCUACAUUAACUUGUCCUCUUAGUAUAAUAUUUAUUGUUAAUCCAAUUAAGCCCCUCUACUUUUUUUUUGAACACCAAAGCCCCGCUUUAAAGCAUAAUAUUCGAUAAUUUCAUAAUUAAUUAUAAAGAAAAAUUAAAAGUUUCUUUUAUCUAUUUUUCUCACACAACUUUUUUUAGCUUCUUUGGGUUCAUCACCUUCUACAAACCAAACCCUCAAAUCCGACGAUCUGGCUUACCGUUGCUUCUCUUCGUCGGCGUUUGUCUUCGGCUACGACCCAUCCGCUCCCAUCUCUCUGAGGAAGAGUUACGGGCAGACAUCAAACUCUCCUAUUCUCAGGAUCGCCAAGCCGAAAACGUUCGUGAGGAAUCAUGGCAGGGCAGUUCAUACAGCACAAGCUUAUGCCAUAAGCUAAUGCCGAUAGGAUUAAUUGGAUUAAUGGUGAAUGUCCUGGACUGUUCAUUUUUCCUUUUCUUUUGCUCUGCAGAUGUCGUUGUGAGCAUACUUUUAGAGCCAAAACUAAGAUUGGCCCAAGCCUGGUCUUCAAAUGAAUGUUUCAUGUGAUCCUUUCUAGUUUGUAUACAUUAAUUUACAAGUUUCCAGUUACAAUCCUCUGCAAGCUGUGUGAAUCUGUGCUACCAUAUUCUAUAACUAUUUAUAACAUAGUGAAAAAUGAAGAGCCUUGAUACAA